rnacentral:rRNA from 1 species
AGCGAACGCUGGCGGCAGGCUUAACACAUGCAAGUCGAGCGGGCAUCUUCGGAUGUCAGCGGCAGACGGGUGAGUAACACGUGGGAACGUACCCUUCGGUUCGGAACAACUCUGGGAAACUGGAGCUAAUACCGGAUACGCCCUUAUGGGGAAAGGUUUACUGCCGAAGGAUCGGCCCGCGUCUGAUUAGCUAGUUGGUGGGGUAACGGCCUACCAAGGCGACGAUCAGUAGCUGGUCUGAGAGGAUGAUCAGCCACACUGGGACUGAGACACGGCCCAGACUCUUAGGGGAGGGAGCAGUGCGGAAUACUGGAAAAGGGGGGCAAGCAUGAUCCAGCCAGGCCGCGUGAGUGAUGAAGGCCUGAGGGUUGUAAAGCUCUUUUGUACGGGACGAUAAUGACGGUACCGGAAGAAUAAGCCCCGGCUAACUUCGUG